AGACCAUGAUGUGGACUCAUCCUCAUCAUUUCUUUGUAUCUUUCCCAUGCAUCGAAGAGAGAUUCAGUAUCUUUUUGUCAAAAUACAUUGAUUUGGGCUCUUAGCAU